UCUGAGAUACAGUGAUUUAGUGUUUGGGGUUGACAAAGAAGAGGGAAACAAAGUCAUGUUUAAAUCUGGUGAAAGUGUCUUAUUCUGAACCCUGGACCUGAAUUCACCCCAGAGCCUCACCUGGACCCGGGGCAUCAUCUCAACAAGUCAUCUAUUCAGCCCCCAUAACUGCUGCCGGUAAUAAUAACUCCUCAGCUGCGGCACUGAGACCCUCUAUUAAAUCGCACGUUGGUCCAGAUUCAGUUGUCAUGACAACAAACACAAAGACGAGCAGAAGAAGACAACAGCUGGACGGAGAAAUGGUUAAAACGGGAAUGAAACAGGAAGUCGACCUCAGAGCGUCGCCGCUGACACCGAUAAUCCAGUGCGAGCAUGAAAGUGACGCAUCAGCAGAUUCAAACUACCGAGGCGCAAACAGGGGAGAAAAAAUGAGGGCUACAUUUUCCUGCAUCAGGGUGGAGACGUGUAGAGGAGAAAAAGGAGGAGAAACAAGAAGAUCAGGACGAGAGGAGACAACUGGACCUCCAUCAUCUCCUCCCGCACCGGAGGACGACUAAAGCCAACGAGCCUCGUGGAGCACAGAUUUCCUCUAACAACCUAAUUGAAUUUCUGAAUGCAUGAGUGACUCCAGUGUUGAAGUCACUCGUGCAAUAUAUAUAUAUAUAAGAAGGAAUAUGAAAAUAAAAUGAAGAUAAAACACA